CAUCAUUUUAAAUUAAAUGAUUCAAAUAAUUAUAAGAGUAUAAAAAUAAAAAUUGUAAUCAAAUCUCAAAUUUAUUUUUUAACCCCUUACUUCUCAAGAUUUAAACUUAGAUGACCAGUAAAAUAAAAUUGUAUGAAAACCACUUGGCAAUACACUUAGAAUUCACUUUACUUAAUUAAUUAUUUUUACAUAAUUACAACACAAAUAAAUUGAACAAGAAACUAUAAUCAAUUUCUAAUCUAUUUAAAUUUCUACCAUCUUCCCUUAGAAAAAAAGAUUUCUAGCAUACUUCAUAUUUAGUAAUAUACAACAUUAGUUAAAAAAAAAAAUUACCCACUAAAAAUGAAAACUCAGCUUCACUCCUAAAACCAAGUUUGAAGUUUGGAUCUUUUACGCGGUAAUUAGAGUAUCACCAAAAAAACUCUUCUAAUUUAACUUUUUAAAUUUUAUUUCCUUACCUAUGUGGCAAAUAGAAGAGUAAAAAAAUAAGUUAUCUACCAAAAUAUUUUUCAAAUAAAUAUAAGUUUAUGUUAUUUUAAUCAACAUUUUUUCUUUAUCAAAAUGAUGGCGAUUAAAACACUUUUCUCUCUUUAAGAUAAUGAGAUAAAAAUAAUAUAAUAUUAAAUUAAAAACUUUAAAAUACUCUGCAAAUAAUAUUUUUCAAAAAAGAUAAUGCUUAUCUCUCUUCAAUAUUAAAGAGAGAGAAAAACAAUCUCAUUUGAGGACCCAUCUACGUUGCAGAUUCUGUAAGUAACAACCUGUGAGUUUGACAUGAUGAUAUAUGUGUGCGUGGCACGUGGACGUCAGAUGGAAUGGGAGAUUAUAUAUGAAACUUGCCAUUCUGGUUUUUUUCCAGUGACAAAAUGAAAUCCUCCCAGUUGCUGACCGAUAACCCGUCACUCAAUUUGGACCAUGGGUGCUAUUUUCAAAUAUAUUAGGUUGAUGGGUCAUGUUUUGACAGUCCAAAUAUUUGCGGUUUGAUAUUGCAAAUAUGUGGGUGGUUCCAGGAUUUCAAUUUUGUAUUUGCACUUUGAUAUAGCAAGAGAGCCGACGUUGCAUCUCCUGCAACAGCAUGGUUUGAAAAUACCCAUCCAAUUUUUUUUGCCAUCGAAACGAUGUGUGGUCCAAUUUCAACAAUCGAUGCUGCCUAGAAGGUAGGCUCCUCGAUCCUCACAUCCGAUCGACAAUGGUUGGUCGUCGAUAUUGAUGUCCAGUUAGGCGCUGGUCAGGUUCGUAAGAUAAAGAUUAAAUACUAGGGUUUUGAAAUUUAGGUAUAGGCAUCUCGGUACAAAGGAAAUAUUGAAUUAAUAUUUUUUUUCAGUUAGAUAUGUUUUUACCGAAUAGAAUUGUAUUCUUUUGGGACUAGGUUUGGAUAAUUAAUUAGUUUGAUUAAUUAGAAUCAUAGUCCCAACGCUUGCCUGUAUACACUAAUUAAUCCUUUUGAUGGUCAAUUUCACUGUUCACAUGAACCUCCUGACUACUGUUGUCUGACCAUAUCAUUUUCUCUGCUACUGCAAUCUUGAAAGAUUGCUUACUCAUCUUUGAUUUGUAUUUUCAAAAAAUUUAUAGAGCAUGGUACUUAGGGGACGUAUAGAAAGUUAACGUUAUUGACAUUUAACGUUAUUGGCAUUUGGUUAAUAGAUCAUAGUCUUGUAUUUGUUUGUUUAAGUUAAGUUAGCGUUAAUGUAAAUCAACCAUAUGGUUUAGAAGUUGGAAGCCAAUACUUUGGUAAACAGACAAAUCGGUAAAUUAAGUUUAUGACAAUUAUUGUGGUAGACAAAUCGUGUCGUUUUAUGUGUUGUUCGACGGCAGGAUUUGGGGGGGGGGGGGAAAGAUAACAAGUCUGUUUUAUUCAUACUUGUGCAUUUUGAUUGGGGUUUUCUUGAAGAUCGAGAGAAUUAAAUACACUAAUGGAACGAAUUAAUAUAAUUUAAAUUUAAUUAGGCCUACUAUUUUUUUUUUCAUGUUUGUCUCAUGUUCUUGUAAUUUACAGUGAAUAUUGUUAAAUUUGUGGUCGAGUAGAGUACGUUGUUGAAGUUUUUACAAAGAUGCAUAGAAAGAACAAGUAUGCAUAAACUUUUAUAAAGGCUGGUAGUUAAGGUCUGUUGGCGGUUUUCGUUUCAUCUACCCGUAUAAAUACAACUGCUAUCUGUCAUAACAAAUUAGGUUUGUUAUUACGAAUCUACUAUUAUUUAUUUUAGAACAAUUAUGUUGUUUUGCUGAUGCAUUGUGAACAAAGUGGUUUUCCCUUGUAGUAGCCUGUACUUUGUAAAUACUUCAACUAUGAGGUAAUGAUCAGCUAGACGAGUGCAGUAAAUUGUAGGUUCCUGAGUUAUGAUAUAAAAUUUUUGUUUAUGUGAAGGUGAAUGUGAAUGUGAAUUAACUAAAAAGUAUUAUUGUUUUUGGUAAUUAUUUACUAAUGGCACUCAUUUUCAUCUUCGUUGAGGUUGUAAUUUUAAAGUAAUAUGGAUUGACAAAGAUGUCGGAUAAUAGAAAUUGAUUUGAGUCUAAGGGUUCAACACAUGCGACGAAAAAAUGCGUAAAGGUUAAAGGACGAAAUUGUAAGGGAGGACAAAUGAAAAUAGUAAUUGUUGGAUUGGUUAAAAUGAGAGUUAUUGUGGGCCGAAUGAGUUACGAAAUGAAAAUAUUUGGGUCGUUGAAAGGUGAAUGCUGAGUUAUAUUAAGAGUGGAGUGCUAGGAAAAUGAUUGUUAAAAGGCGAACAUGAAACAACGUGGCAAUGAAGAUCCGUGGUGUUAUAAUGCAUUGAUUCCUAUCAAACCUAAGAUUUUACACACUGUGACUCUCAGCAAAUGGGGGGAAAUGGAGUAAUUAUAUAGUUGUGCAAAGUGAAGAAAAAGACAAACGAAAAACGAUGUAAAUCUUAGACAUUCACACGUGGUUUAAUUUUCUUCCAUUUAAAAAAUGCUAGUCACAAAAUAAUGUAAUGACCCAACUCCAAGAGGAUAAUGAAGAAAGAAAAAUUACAGGGAAAAAGUGUAUGAAGUUACUAAUUUAAGUUAAAUCAUCCUGCACAUUUCAUCAUCCAUUUUAUUGAGAAGCAUUGAAUGGAAGUAAGAAAUGAAUCAGAAAAAGCAAACGCUUUUCACAGUUUAUAAUAACUGGCCGGUCAUACACAAGUGCUUAAAGUUGAGUGAUGAAGUUAUUUGUGGCUAGUAUUGGUCAAAACAUUAUUCAUUUAUAAGUAUGUAACAAUCUGUUGGAUUGGAACUGGUGUGGACUUGAAAUUCCAUUUAACUCCUUACGGUUCUUAACUGUAAUGGAUUAGGGCAUGAGUUUCAAUUAUAUUUAUCAUUUCUUAUGAGGGCAUCUCCCAUUAACAAAAGCUACUAUCUUGCUUUUAAAUGGAUUCUUAUUUUAAAAAAUGGGUACUUCUCUUACUGGACAAUUAAAGUUAGCAAAUAUUAGGUGAACAAUAUUACGUAUUUCGCUGACAUCAUCUUAUUUGCUCACCACUCCUGGCAUUUUUGGCGUACAAUGCUAGUCACAAAAAUAAUGUUAGUCAAUACAAUAAUUCAAUGACCUAACUCCAAGAGGAUAAUGAAGAAAGAAAAAUUGCAGGGAAAAAGUGUAUGAAGUUACUAAUUUGAGUUAAGUAAUCUUGCACAUUUCAUCAUCCAUUUUGUUGAGAAGCACCGAAUGGAAGUAAGAAAUGAAUCAGAAAAAGUAAACGUUUUUCACAGUUUAUAAUGACUGGCCGGUCAUACACACGUGCUUAAAGCUGAGUGAUGAAGUUAUUUGUGGCUAGCAUUGGUCAAAGCAUUAUUCAUUUAUAAGCAUGUAACAAUCUGUUGGAGUGGAACUGGUGUCAACUUGAAAUUUCAUUUAACUCCUUACGAUUCUUAACUGUAAUGGAUUAGGACAUGAGUUUCAAUGAUAUUUAUCAUUUCUUAUGAGGGCAUUUGCCACUAACAAAAGUCAAUAUGUUACUUUUAAAUAGAUCAUUAUUUGAAUAAAUGGGUACUUUCCUUGCUGGCUGGUUAAAGUGAGCAAAUAUUAGGUGAGCAACAUUACAUAUUACGCCGACAUCAUCUUACUUGCUCGCCACUCCUGGCAUCUUUGGUGUACAAUACUAGUCACAAAAAUAAUGCUAGCUACAAAAAUAAUACAAUGACCCAACUCCAAAAGGAUAAUGAAGGAAAAAAAAUUACAGUAUGAAGUUGCCAAUUUGAGUUAAGUCAUUCCGUACAUGUCAUCAUCUAUUUUGUUGGGAAGCACCAAAUGAACGUAAGAAAUGCACCGGAAAAACCAAACGUUUUUCACAGUUUAUAAUGAUUGGCCGGUUAUACACACAUGUUUAAAGUUGAGUGAUGAAAUUAUUUGCGACUAGCAUUGGUCAAAGCAUUAUUCAAUUAUAAGUAUGUAACAAUCUGUUGGAUUAGAACUGGUGUGAACUUGAAAUUUCAUUUAACUUCUUACGGUUCUUAACUGUAAUGGAUUAGGGCUUGAGUUUCAAUGACAUUUAUCAUUUCUUAUGAGGGCAUCUGCCACUAACAAAAGCUAAUAACUUAGUUUUAAAUGGAUCAUUAUUUGAAAAAAUGGGUACUUCCCUUACUGGUCAAUUAAAGUGAGCAAUAUUACGUAUUUCCCCGACACAUCUUAUUUGCUCACCACUCCUAGCAUCUUUGGUGUACAAUGCUAGUAUAAAAAAUAAUGCUAAUUACAAAAAUAAUACAAUGACCAAACUCCAAAAGAAUAAUGAAGGAAAACAAUUGCAGUAUGAAGUUGCCAAUUUGAGUUAAGUCAUUUUAUACAUGUCAUCAUCCAUUUUGUUGGGAAGCACUAAAUGGAAGUAAGAAAUGUACCAGAAAAACCAAACGAUUUUCACAGUUUAUAAUGAUUGGCCGAUUAUACACACGUGCUUAAAGUUGAGUGAUGAAGUUAUUUGCGGCUAGCAUUGGUCAAAUCAUUAUUCAAUUAUAAGUAUGUAACAAUCUGUUAGAUUGAAAUUGGUGUGAAAUUGAAAUUUCAUUUAACUUCUUAUGGUUCUUAAUUGUAAUGGAUUAAGGUUUGAGUUUCAAUGAUAUUUAUCAUUUCUUAAGAGGGCAUCUCCCACUAACAAAAGUUAAUAUUUUAGUUUUAAAUGGAUCAUUUUUAAAAAAAAUGGAUACUUCCCUUACUGGUCAGUUAAAGUGAGCAAAUAUUAGGUGAGUAAUAUUACAUAUUUCCCCGAGAUCUUAGACAUUCACACGUGGUUUAAUUUUCUUCCAUUUAAAAAAUGCUAGUCACAAAAUAAUGUAAUGACCCAACUCCAAGAGGAUAAUGAAGAAAGAAAAAUUACAGGGAAAAAGUGUAUGAAGUUACUAAUUUAAGUUAAAUCAUCCUGCACAUUUCAUCAUCCAUUUUAUUGAGAAGCAUUGAAUGGAAGUAAGAAAUGAAUCAGAAAAAGCAAACGCUUUUCACAGUUUAUAAUAACUGGCCGGUCAUACACAAGUGCUUAAAGUUGAGUGAUGAAGUUAUUUGUGGCUAGUAUUGGUCAAAACAUUAUUCAUUUAUAAGUAUGUAACAAUCUGUUGGAUUGGAACUGGUGUGGACUUGAAAUUCCAUUUAACUCCUUACGGUUCUUAACUGUAAUGGAUUAGGGCAUGAGUUUCAAUUAUAUUUAUCAUUUCUUAUGAGGGCAUCUCCCAUUAACAAAAGCUACUAUCUUGCUUUUAAAUGGAUUCUUAUUUUAAAAAAUGGGUACUUCUCUUACUGGACAAUUAAAGUUAGCAAAUAUUAGGUGAACAAUAUUACGUAUUUCGCUGACAUCAUCUUAUUUGCUCACCACUCCUGGCAUUUUUGGCGUACAAUGCUAGUCACAAAAAUAAUGUUAGUCAAUACAAUAAUUCAAUGACCCAACUCCAAGAGAAUAAUGACUGAACAAAAAAUUAAAGACGAUAAGUGUAUGAUGUUACCAAUUUGAGUUAAGUCACUUGCACACGUCAUCAUCUAUUUUGUUUGGAAGCACCGAAUGGAAGUGAAAAAUGAACACGAAAAACCAAACGUUUUUCAAAGUUUAUAAUGACUGGCCGGUCAUACACACGUGCUUAAAGCUGAGUGAUAAAGUUAUUUUUGGCUAGCAUUGGUCAAAGCAUUAUUCAUUGAUAAGCAUGUAACAAUAUGUUGGUGUGAAACUGAUGUGAACUUGAAAUUCCAUUUAACUCCAUACGGUUCUUAGCUGUAAUGGAUUAGGGCAUGAAUUUUAAUGAUAUUUAUCAUUUUUUAUGAGGGCAUCUGCCACUAACAAAAGUCAAUCAGUUACUUUUAAAUGGAUUCUUAUUUAAAGAAACGGGUACUUCCCUUGCUGGCCAAUUAAAGUUAACAAAUAUUAGGUGAGCAAUAUUACUUAUUUCGCUGACAUCAUCUUACUUGCUCACCACUCCUGGCAUAUUUAGCGUACAAUGCUAGUCACAAAAAUAAUGUUAGUCAACACAAUAAUUCAAUGACCCAACUUCAAGAGAAUAAUGAAGAAAAAAAAUUACAGGGAAAAAGUGUAUAAAGCUACUAAUUUGAGUUAAGUCAUCAUGCACAUGUCAUCAUCCAUUUUGUUGGGAAACACCGAAUGGAAGUAAGAAAUGAACAGGAAACACCAAACGUUUUUCACAGUUUAUAUUGACUGGCCGGUUAUACACACAUUCUUAAAGUUGAGUGAUGAAGUUAUUUUUUGCUAGCAUUAGUCAAAGCAUUAUUCAUUUAUAAGCAUGUAACAAUAUGUUUGAGUGGAACUGGUGUGAAUUUAAAAUUUCAUUUAAUUCUUUAUGGUUCUUAAUUGUAAUAGAUUAAGGCAUGAGUUUUAAUGAUAUUUAUCAUUUCUUAUGAGGGCAUCUGCCACUAACAAAAGUCAAUCUGUUACUUUUAAAAGGAUCCUUAUUUAAAGAAACGGGUACUUCCCUUAUUGGAUAGUUAAAGUUAGUAAAUAUUAGGUGAGCAAUAUUAUGUAUUUCGCAGACAUCAUCUUACUUGCUCACCACUCCUCGCUUAUUUAGCGUACAACACUAGUCACAAAAAUAAUGUUAGUCAACAUAAUAAUGCAAUGAUUCAACUCCAAGAGAAUAAUAACUGAAAAAAAUUAAAGACGAAUAGUGUAUUAAGUUACCAAUUUGAGUUAAAUCAUCCUGCACACGUCAUCAUCUAUUUUGUUGGGAAGCACCGAAUGGAAGUGAGAUAUGAAUCGGAAAAACCAAAUGUUUUUCACAGUUUAUAAUGACUGGCCGGUUAUACACAAGUGCUUAAAGUUGAGUGAUAAAGUUAUUUGUGGCUAGCAUUGGUCAAAACAUUACUCAUUUAUAAGAAUAUAACAAUCUGUUGGAGUGGAACUGGUGUGAACUUCAAAUUCCAUUUAACUCCUUACGGUUCUUAACUGUAAUGGAUUAGUGCUUUUAUUUCAAUCAUAUUUAUCAUUUCUUAUUAGUGCAUCUGCCACUAACAAAAGUCAAUCUGUUACUUUUAAAUGAAUCCUUAUUUAAAGAAACGGGCACUUCCCUUAUUGGAUAGUUAAAGUUAGCCAAUAUUAGGUGGGCAAUAUUACGUAUUUCGCUGACAUUAUCUUACUUGCUCACCACUCCUAGCAUACUUAGCGUACAACGCUAGUCACAAAAAUAAUCUUAGUCAACAUAAUAAUGUAAUGACCCAACUCCAAGAGAAUAAUGACUGAAGAAAAAUUGAAGACGAAUAGAGUAUGAAGUUACCAAUUUGAGUUAAGUCAUCAUGCACACGUCAUCAUCUAUUUUGUUGGGAAACACUGAAUGAAAGUGAGAUAUGAAUAGGAAAAACCAAACGUUUUUCACAGUUUAUAAUGACUGGCCAGUUAUACACACGUGCUUAAAGCUGAGUGAUGAAGUUAUUUGUGGCUAGCAUUGGUCAAAGCAUUACUCAUUUAUAAGCUUAUAACAAUCUGUUAGAGUGGAAUUGGUGUGAACUUGAAAUUUCAUUUAACUCCUUACGGUUCUUAACUGUAGUGGAUUAGAACAUGAGUUUCAAUGAUAUUUACCAUUUCUUAUUAGUGCAUCUGCCACUAACAAAAGUCAAUCUGUUACUUUUAAAAGGAUCCUUAUUUAAAGAAACGUGUACUUCCCUUGCUGGAUAGUUAAAGUUAGCAAAUAUUAUGUGAGCAAUAUUAUGUAUUUCGCCGACAUCAUCUUACUUGCUCACCACUCCUCGCUUAUCUAGCGUACAACGCUAGUAACAAAAAUAAUGUUAGUCAACAUAAUAAUGCAAUGAUCCAACUCCAAGAGAAUAUUGACUGAAGAAAAAUUGAAGACGAAAAGUGUAUGAAGUUACCAAUAUGAGUUAAGUCGUCUUGCACAUGUCAUCAUAUAUUUUGUUGGGAAGCACCAAAUGGAAAUGAGAUAUGAACAGGAAAAACCAAACGUUUUUCACAGUUUAUAAUGACUGGCCGGUUAUACACAUGUGCUUAAAGUUGAGUGAUGAAGUUAUUUGUGGCUAGCAUUGGUCAAAGCAUUACUCAUUUAUAAGCAUGUAACAAUCUGUUGGAGUGGAACUAGUGUGAACUUCAAAUUCCAUUUAACUCCUUACUGUUCUUCACUGUAAUAAAUUAGUGCAUGAGUUUCAAUGAUAUUUAUCAUUUCUGAUGAAAGCAUCUGCCACUAACAAAACUCAAUCUAUUACUUUUAAAUGGAUCCUUAUUUAAAGAAGCGGGUAAUUCCCUUGCUGGCCGGUUAAACUUAGCAAAUAUUAGGUGAGCAAUAUUACGUACUUCGCCAACAUAAUCUUACUUGCUCCCCACUUCUGGCAUUUUUAGCGCACAACGCUAGUCACCAAAAUAAUGUUAGUCAACAUAAUAAUGCAAUGAUCAACCUCCAAGAGAAUAAUGACUGAAGAAAAAUUGAAGAUGAAAAGUGUAUAAAGUUACAAAUUUGAGUUAAGUCAUCAUUCACACGUCAUCAUGCACACGUCAUCAUCUGCCACUAACAAAAGUCAAUCUGUUACUUUUAAAUGGAUCCUUAUUUAAAGAAAUGGGUACUUCUCUUACUGGCCGGUUAAAGUUAGCAAAUAUUAUGUGAGAAAUAUUACGUAUUUCGCCGACAUCAUCUUACUUACUCACCACUCCUGGCAUCUUUAGCGUACACGCUAGUCACAAAAAUAAUAUUAGUCAUCAUAAUAAUUCAAUGACCCAACUCCAAGAGAAUAAUUACUGAAGAAAAAUUGAAGAUGAAAAGUGUAUGACUGGCCGGUUAUACACACGUGCUUAAAGCUGAGUGAUGAAGUUAUUUGUAGAUAACAUUGGUCAAAGCAUUAUUCAUUUAUAAGCAUGUAACAAUCUGUUAGAGUGGAAUGGGUGUGAACUUAAAAUUCCAUUUAACUCCUUACGACUCUUAACUGUAAUAGAUUAGGGCAUGAGUUUCAAUGAUAUUUAUCAUUUCUCGUUAGGGCAUCUCCCACUAACAAAAGUCAAUUUGUUACUUUUAAAUGGAUCAUUAUUUAAAGAAACGGGUACAUCUCUUACUAGCCGGUUAAAGUGAGUAUAUAUUAGGUAAGCAAUAUUACUUAUUUGGUCGUCAUCAUUUUACUUGAUCACCACUCCUGGCAUCUUUGGUGUACAAUGAUAGCGUCAAAAAUAAUGUUAGUCAACAUAAUAAUGCAAUGACCCAACUCCAAGAGGAUAAUAAAGAACGAAAAAUUACAGGGAAAAAAUGUAUGAAGUUACUAAUUUGAGUUAACUCAUCUUGAAUAUUUCAUCAUCUGCCACUAACAAAAGACAAUCUGUUACUUUUAUAUGGAUCCUUAUUUAAAGAAACGGGUACUUCCCUUACUGGGCUGUUAAAGUUAGCAAAUAUUAGGUGAACAAUAUUACGUAUUUCACCGAUAUCAUCUUACUUGCUCACAACUCAUGGCAUCUUUAGCGUACACGCUAAUCACAAAAAUAAUAUUAGUCAACAUAAUAAUUCAAUGACCCAACUCCAAAAGAAUAAUGACUGAAGAAAAAUUGAAGUCGAAAAUUGUAUGAAGUUGCCAUUACCAAUAUGAGUUAAGUCGUCCUACACACGUCAUAAUCUAUUUUGUUGGGAAGCACCAAAUGGAAGUGAGAUAUGAACAGGAAAAACCAAACGUUUUUCACAGUUUAUAAUGACUGGCCGGUUAUACACACGUGCUUAAAGCUGAGUGAUGAAGUUAUUUGUGGAUAACAUUGGUCAAAGCAUUAUUCAUUUAUAAGCAUGUAACAAUCUGUUAGAGUGGAACUGGUGUGAACUUGAAAUUCCAUUUAACUCCUUACGACUCUUAACUGUAAUAAAUUAGGGCAUGAGUUUCAAUGAUCUUUAUCAUUUCUCAUGGGGGCAUCUCCCACUAACAAAAGUCAAUUUGUUACUUUUAAAUGGAUCAUUAUUUAAAGAAACGGGUACAUCCCUUACUGGUCGGUUAAAGUGAGUAAAUAUUAGGUGAACAAAAUUACCUAUUUGGUCGUCAUCAUCUUACUUGUUCACCACUCCUGGCAUCUUUGGCGUACAAUGAUAGCGUCAAAAAUAAUGUUAGUCAACAUAAUAAUGCAAUGACCCAACUCCAAGAGGAUAAUGAAGAACGAAAAAUUACAAGGAAAAAAUGUAUGAAGUUACUAAUUUGAGUUAAGUCAUCCUGAAUAUGUCAUCAUCUGCCACUAGCAAAAGACAAUCUGUUAAUUUUAUAUGGAUCCUUAUUUAAAGAAACGGGUACUUCCCUUACUGGGCGGUUAAAGUUAGUAAAUAUUAGGUGAACAAUAUUACGUAUUUCGCCGAUAUCAUCUUACUUGCUCACCACUUAUGGCAUCUUUAGCGUACAAUGCUAGUCACAAAAAUAAUGUUAGUCAACAUAAUAAUUCAAUGACCCAACUCCAAGAGAAUAAUUACUGAAGAAAAAUUGAAGACGAAAAGUGUAUGAAGUUACCAUUACCAAUAUGAGUUAAGUCGUCCUACACACGUCAUAAUCUAUUUUAUUGGGAAGCACCGAAUGGAAGUGAGACAUGAACAGGAAAAACCAAACGUUUUUCACAGUUUAUAAUGACUGGCCGGUUAUACACACGUGCUUAAAGCUGAGUGAUGAAGUUAUUUGUGGAUAACAUUGGUCAAAGCAUUAUUCAUUUAUAAGCAUGUAACAAUUUGUUAGAGUGGAACUGGUGUGAACUUGAAAUUCCAUUUAACUCCUUACGGCUCUUAACUGUAAUAAAUUAGGGCAUGAGUUUCAAUGAUCUUUAUCAUUUCUCAUGGGGGCAUCUCCCAUUAACAAAAGUCAAUUUGUUACUUUUAAAUGGAUCAUUAUUUAAAGAAACGGGUACAUCCCUUACUGGCCGGUUAAAGUGAGUAAAUAUUAGGUGAACAAAAUUACCUAUUUGGUCGUCAUCAUCUUACUUGUUCACCACUCCUGGCAUCUUUGGCGUACAAUGAUAGCGUCAAAAAUAAUGUUAGUCAACAUAAUAAUGCAAUGACCCAACUCAAAGAGAAUAAUGAAAAACGAAAAAUUACAAGGAAAAAAUGUAUGAAGUUACUAAUUUGAGUUAAGUCAUCCUGAAUAUGUUAUCAUCUGCCACUAACAAAAGACAAUCUGUUACUUUUAUAUGGAUCCUUAUUUAAAGAAACAGGUACUUCCCUUACUGGGCGGUUAAAGUUAGCAACUAUUAGGUGAACAAUAUUACGUAUUUCGCCGAUAUCAUCUUACUUGCUCACCACUCCUGGCAUCUUUAGCGUACAACGCUAAUCACAAAAAUAAUGUUAGUCAACAUAAUAAUGCAAUGACCCAACUCCAAGAGAAUAAUGACUGAAGAAAAAUUGAAGACGAAAAGUGUAUGAAGUUACCAAUUUGAGUUAAGUCAUCAUGCACACGUCAUCAUCUAUUUUGAUGGGAAGCACCGAAUGGAAGUAAGAAAUGAACAGGAAAAACCAAACUUUUUUCACAGUUUAUAAUGACUGGCCGGUUAUACACACGUGCUUAAAGUUGAGUAAUGAAGUUAUUUGUGGCUAAUAUUUGUCAAAGCAUUAUUCAUUUAUAAGUAUGUAACAAUUUAUUGGAUUGUAACUGGUGUGAACUUAAAAUUCUAUUUAACUCCUUACUGUGGUUAACUGUAAUGGAUUAGGGCAUGAAUUUCAAUGAUAUUUAUAAUUUCUUAUGAAGGCAUCUCUCACUAACAAAAGCUACUCUCUUGAUUUUAAAUGGAUUCUUAUUUAAAAAAAUGGGUACUUCCCUUGUUGGAUAGUUAAAGUUAGUAAAUAUUAGGUGAACAAUAUUACAUAUUUCACCGACAUCAUCUUACUUGCUCACCACUCCUGACAUCUUGGCGUACAACGCUAGUUACAAAAAUAAUGUUAGUCAACAUAAUAAUGCAAUGACCCAACUCUAAGAGAAUAAUGACUGAAGAAAAAUUGAAGGUGAAAAGUGUAUGAAGUUACAAAUUUUAGUUAAGUCAUCCUGCACAUGUCAUCAUCCAUUUUGUUGGGAAACACCGAAUGGAAGUAAGAAAUGAACAGGAAAAACCAAACGCUUUUCACAGUUUAUAAUGAUUGGCCGGUUAUACACACGUUCUUAAAGCUGAGUGAUGAAGUUAUUUGUGGAUAGCAUUGGUCAAAGCAUUAUUCAUUUAUAAGCAUGUAACAAUCUGUUGGAGUGGAACUGGUGUGAACUUAAAAUUUUAUUUAACUCCUUACGGUUCUUAACUAUAAUGCAUUAGGGCAUGAGUUUCAGUGAUAUUUAUCAUUUCUUAUGAGGGCAUUUCCCAUUAACAAAAGCUACUCUCUUGCUUUUAAAUGAGUUCUUAUUUAAAAAAAUGUGUACUUCCUUUACUAGUCAGUUAAAGUUAGCAAAUAUUAGGUGAACAAUAUUAUGUAUUUUGCCGACAUCAUCUCACUUGCUCACCAUUCCUAGCAUCUUUGGCGUGCAACGCUAGUCACAAAAAUAAUGUUAGUUAACAUAAUAAUGCAAUGACCCAACUAUAAGAGAAUAAUAAAUGAAGAAAAAAUUAAAGGCGAAAAGUGUAUGAAGUUACCAAUUUGAGUUAAGUCAUCCUACAAAUGUUAUCAUCCAUUUUGUUGGGAAGCACCAAAUGGAAGUAAGAAAUGAACAGGAAAAACCAAACAUUUUUCACAAUUUAUAAUGACUGGCCGGUCAUACACACGUGCUUAAAGCUGAGUGAUGAAGUUAUUUGUGGCUAGCAUUGGUCAAAGCAUUAAUCAUUUAUAAGUAUGUAACAAUAUGUUGGAUUGGAACUAGUGUGAACUUGAAAUUCUAUUUAACUCUUUACGAUUCUUAACUGUAAUGGAUUAGGGCAUGAGUUUCAAUGAUAUUUAUCAUUUCUUAUCAAGGCAUCUCCCACUAACAAAAGUCAAUCCGCUACUUUUAAAUGGAUUCUUAUUUAAAGAAACGGGUACUUCCCUUGCUGGCUAUCUGAAACUCAUAGUUUGAUUAAAUAUUAAUAUGCUAUCAUGUUUAUCUGAUAUAUAAAAACUCUAUCACAAAUCUAUCAUGGCUUUAUGAUGUAUGAAAAUUAUGUCACGUGUCUAUCAUAUUCUUGUAAUAAAUGACUAAUUUUCUAAUAUCUAUCACAAAAAUUCUGUCAUGGUAGCUCAUUUUGCUAGUAGUGAGAAAUACUGCAAGCCUUCUUUUUAUUAAAACAUACAUUAUAAUUCAUAAAUUUCAUAAAAUGACAUAAAUUCAUAGUAAUUUAGUAUAUCAAAAGCAUAGUUAAUCAUAAAAGCAAAUGGUAUAGCAUAUAUGCAGAAAAUAAGAAGUUAGCUCAUGUCACAUAGUGUUACCUAUACUCCCGGUGACCCGGCCAGAAACAGAAUUAGAAUCAGAAUAUCAUGUGCACACUCAAAACAAAAACUCAAUACUAGUCCAGAACAUAUAUGUAUACAGAAUCAGAAUAACUAUGGACAAUGAGCCAAAACAUUCAAAUUAAUUUUUCAUAUGUAAUGAUUUGUAUGUGGCACUUCACGACGCUCUGGCUCUCGAGAGGUGACCCCCCUAUAAUCUCAAGAGGUGGGUUCGUAUAAUCAUAAAUAAUAUCAAAUCGUACAUGGGCACAAAACAUUUGUAUCAAAUUCACAAAUGUCCAUAACAAUAAUUUAGGCUUGCAAAAUAUUUUAUAGAAAAAAUCGUAAAAGGUAAUCAUGUAAUAAAAUUAAUUACAUAUUUAAAAGCAUUUAUAAUAGUUUGUAAAAAAAUAAAAAUAACAUAAUUUUCAUAUUUGAAAACAUUUACAUAAACUAAUUUUGUUAUAAAAAUCAAUUAAUCUUUUAAGUAGUAUAAAAACAUUUAUACUUAUAAUAAUAUAAAAAAUAAUCAUACAUAUUCAGUACAUUAUGAAUGAAGUUACUUACCUCGAUAAAAGAAUUGAUCUAACACACCUCUAAGCCUCUAAGAGCCUCAAACUCCUCCAACACCUUAAACAAAUACAAGAUACAAUUAUUACGAACUUAUUUUAAGAACUUGAUUUUCGAGUUCGUACUCGUAUAAGUCUAAUUCUCAGAAUUUUAAUUCUUAAUCUAAAAAUCAUAAUGACACAAUAUUUUACAUAACUGUUCUAAACCUUCAUAUGUAUCUCAUGUAAAAUUUUCAAGAAGAUCUGAUACCAAAAACAUUUUCAAAACUAUUUGUUUCUUGACAGAUUCGAAAUUGUUUCAUAGUGUCUUAACUAAACAGAACAUGUUCCGAGAUUUUUAUAAAAUCAUAAAUAAAUAAAAAACUUAUGACAUUAAAACUAGGAAUACUAGACACAUAUACAAAUCUUUUUUAAAAAAUUUCGGAAUUUUUUUAAUUCGUUUGGUACUACAAAUAAUUUUGUGAAAUUUGUCAUUCUACUGAAGUUGUAGUUUUACAGUGCAAUAGUAUCUGUUUUGAAAAUACAUAUACAAUUGAAAACAAAUCAAAUAUCAUGAAAAAAAAAUUCAAUAAGCCCUACAAGUCUAGUUUUUAGAAAAAUAAGGUUCUUAGGAAGAAUCAUUCAUCAAACAUAUGUUUAAUUUCGAGAUAUUGAUACUAUCUAAAAUUGUCUAGUGUGUUUAUUGUAUUAACGAUUGAUUAAUAAGACUCAACAAUAAAUCAAAGCCUUAAACAGAACUUUAACACAUCCUAAAUCAUGCAUAAUGGUCUGUAACAAUCUAAAACAAUGUCAAUAAAACCCUUAAUAGAGUGAUAGGAAAACUUGUGGAGAAUAAAGAGAGUAAAACUUACCAACUGUUAAGAUUUUCUUCUAAGUAAAGAAUCCUAGGGUAUGAGUAAGAGAAUAAUGAACAGCAGAGAAAAAUAGAAGAAAACGUUGUGGACUUAGGGUUAUGGAAUAAGGAAAAGUAUGAAUUUAUAAAGAGUUUUGAAAUAAACCUUAUUAAAUUUGGAAAAGUAAGUCUUUUCUAAAAUUAUCCCAUGAAUAGUCUUAUUAAUAAGGGAAGGAAAUUUCUUCACGUAAGAGUCCUUCUCCUCUCAUAAUUCUUUUUUUUUUUCCUUCAAAAGCAAAGUUUUUGGUGUUACACUAAUGUUGCCUUUCUUAAUGCUGACCAUGACAAACUUUUAAUAGAUGCUUAAAGGUAGAUAGGAGCCUCUAUUGAUGUAUUAGUUGAUUAGAAUACAUCUUGAUUUGUCUGUCAAAAGUAAAAAUUUUGCUGGAAUGAAUUAAUAUUUAGUGUGCUGUGUUUGUGUUUUACUUAAAUUGAGAUUGCUUCUUUUGCUAUAUAUGUUAUAAAGUGUGGCUGUCAGGAUAUUCAGCCUUUGGUUUAUUUGUUUGCUUGUGAUAUUUUGGUGCAAAAUCUACUAGCUAAUGUUUAAGUUUGCUUAUUAUGAAAAUUUAUGGGAAGCAUUGGCUUAGUUUUUAUAUCCUAACUUUAAGUUGGUAAACUGACCUUUGUUUAGGAUUAUACAAUAUUUGUUAUUUAUGUAUAUAUAUUUGUGUUAUAUUGUUUGAAUAGAGUCUGAGAUGAGAAAAAUUCUUUCAUUUUAGUUUUUUAAGUUUAGUACCUUAGUUUUUAUAUUCUAACUUUAAGUUAGUAAGCUGAGCUUUGUUUAGGAUUAUACAAUGUUUAUUAU
rnacentral:lncRNA from 1 species